rnacentral:rRNA from 1 species
UCGAGAAUCUUCCGCAAUGGGCGAAAGCCUGACGGAGCGACACCGCGUGCAGGAUGAAGGCCUUCGGGUUGUAAACUGCUGUCACGCCAUAGGAAAGCCAUGUCGUUAAUAGCUGCAUGGUUGACCAAAGCGAGAGGAAGCACCGGCUAACUCCGUGCCAGCAGCCGCGGUAAGACGGAGGGUGCGAACGUUGUUCGGAAUCACUGGGCAUAAAGCGCACGUAGGCGGCCAAGUCAGUUCGGUGUGAAAGCCCCCGGCUCAACCGGGGAACUGCAUCGAAUACUGCUUGGCUCGAGGACGGUUGGGGUGAGUGGAACUCCUGGUGGAGCGGUGAAAUGCGUAGAUAUCAGGAGGAACACCAGUGGCGAAAGCGGCUCACUGGACCGUAUCUGACGCUGAGGUGCGAAAGCUAGGGUAGCGAACGGGAUUAGAUACCCCCGUAGUCC